AGCGUACACGGUGGAUGCCCUGGCAGUCAGAGGCGAUGAAGGACGUGCUAAUCUGCGAUAAGCGUCGGUAAGGUGAUAUGAACCGUUAUAACCGGCGAUUUCCGAAUGGGGAAACCCAGUGUGAUUCGUCACACUAUCAUUAACUGAAUCCAUAGGUUAAUGAGGCGAACCGGGGGAACUGAAACAUCUAAGUACCCCGAGGAAAAGAAAUCAACCGAGAUUCCCCCAGUAGCGGCGAGCGAACGGGGAGCAGCCCAGAGCCUGAAUCAGUGUGUGUGUUAGUGGAAGCGUCUGGAAAGGCGCGCGAUACAGGGUGACAGCCCCGUACACAAAAAUGCACAUACUGUGAGCUCGAUGAGUAGGGCGGGACACGUGGUAUCCUGUCUGAAUAUGGGGGGACCAUCCUCCAAGGCUAAAUACUCCUGACUGACCGAUAGUGAACCAGUACCGUGAGGGAAAGGCGAAAAGAACCCCGGCGAGGGGAGUGAAAAAGAACCUGAAACCGUGUACGUACAAGCAGUGGGAGCACGCUUAGGCGUGUGACUGCGUACCUUUUGUAUAAUGGGUCAGCGACUUAUAUUCUGUAGCAAGGUUAACCGAAUAGGGGAGCCGAAGGGAAACCGAGUCUUAACUGGGCGUUAAGUUGCAGGGUAUAGACCCGAAACCCGGUGAUCUAGCCAUGGGCAGGUUGAAGGUUGGGUAACACUAACUGGAGGACCGAACCGACUAAUGUUGAAAAAUUAGCGGAUGACUUGUGGCUGGGGGUGAAAGGCCAAUCAAACCGGGAGAUAGCUGGUUCUCCCCGAAAGCUAUUUAGGUAGCGCCUCGUGAAUUCAUCUCCGGGGGUAGAGCACUGUUUCGGCAAGGGGGUCAUCCCGACUUACCAACCCGAUGCAAACUGCGAAUACCGGAGAAUGUUAUCACGGGAGACACACGGCGGGUGCUAACGUCCGUCGUGAAGAGGGAAACAACCCAGACCGCCAGCUAAGGUCCCAAAGUCAUGGUUAAGUGGGAAACGAUGUGGGAAGGCCCAGACAGCCAGGAUGUUGGCUUAGAAGCAGCCAUCAUUUAAAGAAAGCGUAAUAGCUCACUGGUCGAGUCGGCCUGCGCGGAAGAUGUAACGGGGCUAAACCAUGCACCGAAGCUGCGGCAGCGACGCUUAUGCGUUGUUGGGUAGGGGAGCGUUCUGUAAGCCUGUGAAGGUGUACUGUGAGGUAUGCUGGAGGUAUCAGAAGUGCGAAUGCUGACAUAAGUAACGAUAAAGCGGGUGAAAAGCCCGCUCGCCGGAAGACCAAGGGUUCCUGUCCAACGUUAAUCGGGGCAGGGUGAGUCGACCCCUAAGGCGAGGCCGAAAGGCGUAGUCGAUGGGAAACAGGUUAAUAUUCCUGUACUUGGUGUUACUGCGAAGGGGGGACGGAGAAGGCUAUGUUGGCCGGGCGACGGUUGUCCCGGUUUAAGCGUGUAGGCUGGUUUUCCAGGCAAAUCCGGAAAAUCAAGGCUGAGGCGUGAUGACGAGGCACUACGGUGCUGAAGCAACAAAUGCCCUGCUUCCAGGAAAAGCCUCUAAGCAUCAGGUAACAUCAAAUCGUACCCCAAACCGACACAGGUGGUCAGGUAGAGAAUACCAAGGCGCUUGAGAGAACUCGGGUGAAGGAACUAGGCAAAAUGGUGCCGUAACUUCGGGAGAAGGCACGCUGAUAUGUAGGUGAAGUCCCUCGCGGAUGGAGCUGAAAUCAGUCGAAGAUACCAGCUGGCUGCAACUGUUUAUUAAAAACACAGCACUGUGCAAACACGAAAGUGGACGUAUACGGUGUGACGCCUGCCCGGUGCCGGAAGGUUAAUUGAUGGGGUCAGCGCAAGCGAAGCUCUUGAUCGAAGCCCCGGUAAACGGCGGCCGUAACUAUAACGGUCCUAAGGUAGCGAAAUUCCUUGUCGGGUAAGUUCCGACCUGCACGAAUGGCGUAAUGAUGGCCAGGCUGUCUCCACCCGAGACUCAGUGAAAUUGAACUCGCUGUGAAGAUGCAGUGUACCCGCGGCAAGACGGAAAGACCCCGUGAACCUUUACUAUAGCUUGACACUGAACAUUGAGCCUUGAUGUGUAGGAUAGGUGGGAGGCUUUGAAGUGUGGACGCCAGUCUGCAUGGAGCCGACCUUGAAAUACCACCCUUUAAUGUUUGAUGUUCUAACGUUGACCCGUAAUCCGGGUUGCGGACAGUGUCUGGUGGGUAGUUUGACUGGGGCGGUCUCCUCCUAAAGAGUAACGGAGGAGCACGAAGGUUGGCUAAUCCUGGUCGGACAUCAGGAGGUUAGUGCAAUGGCAUAAGCCAGCUUGACUGCGAGCGUGACGGCGCGAGCAGGUGCGAAAGCAGGUCAUAGUGAUCCGGUGGUUCUGAAUGGAAGGGCCAUCGCUCAACGGAUAAAAGGUACUCCGGGGAUAACAGGCUGAUACCGCCCAAGAGUUCAUAUCGACGGCGGUGUUUGGCACCUCGAUGUCGGCUCAUCACAUCCUGGGGCUGAAGUAGGUCCCAAGGGUAUGGCUGUUCGCCAUUUAAAGUGGUACGCGAGCUGGGUUUAGAACGUCGUGAGACAGUUCGGUCCCUAUCUGCCGUGGGCGCUGGAGAACUGAGGGGGGCUGCUCCUAGUACGAGAGGACCGGAGUGGACGCAUCACUGGUGUUCGGGUUGUCAUGCCAAUGGCACUGCCCGGUAGCUAAAUGCGGAAGAGAUAAGUGCUGAAAGCAUCUAAGCACGAAACUUGCCCCGAGAUGAGUUCUCCCUGACUCCUUGA
rnacentral:rRNA from 1 species